AACUUUCAGCAAUGGAUCUCUUGGCUCUCGCAUCGAUGAAGAACGCAGCGAAAUGCGAUACGUAAUGCGAAUUGCAGAAUUCAGUGAAUCAUCGAAUCUUUGAACGCAUCUUGCGCUUUCUGGUAUUCCGGAGAGCAUGCUUGUUUGAGUAUCAGUAAAUACCUCAAAUUCCUCUACAUGUCUCAGGAGUUUGGACUUGAGCAAUCCCACCUUUUCAAAAGAGAAGGCGGGUUGCUUGAAAUGCAGGUGCAGCUAGAUUCUUUCUUCUGAGCUAUAAGCAUACUUAUUUAAUCCCGUCAAACGGAUUAUUACUUUUGCUGCAGCUAACAUAAAGGUUGAAGAGUCGCUAUGGCUGACUGAUGCAGGAUUUAACAUGUCGCGCAAGCGAUCUGUAAACUCGAUCUCAAAUCAAGCAAGACUACCCGCUGAACUUAAGCAUAUCAAUAAGCGGAGGCU
rnacentral:misc_RNA from 1 species